CGAUUAACAAAAGUUUAAAGCGACAAUAAAUAGUGGUUAAGACGCAAAUUAACUUAAUUAGGCAUUUGGAGUGCCCAGGGACGUCUAUCCGACUUUACAGUACGCGUAUGAAGAUUCGCGUGGAAUCUGCAACAACGAACUGAUACCGUGCAAAAUACUGACAACGCCGACAAAUACGGAUUUUCUACGAAUAUUUUAUAAAUAUAAUUUUAUGAAUGUAUUGGGUUUCUGUGCGACACAAACGCAAACGUGAACUAAAAACGCGAUAGCAGGAAACGCAUCGGCAACGAAACGGAAGCGACAGAGGCGCUUGUCACCUUCAGAACUUACAUUUUACGCUAUAUUUAGCUCCGUAAUGGAAUUUUAGUAGUUACAGUCGAAAUCGGAUCGAAAAACGAAUUAGAAACGACCUCUUGAGCAAAUUUCACGAUUUUAACGCAACGGACGAACGAACGCGUCAACCGUCAACUUCCGACGCUAUUUUACAUAUCCUCGAUCCUAAAAUGACAUUGUACGACAUUACACGACGUUCCGGUGCAAAACGAGCUUUAGAAACGAGAUCGGGGGGUUCAAAAUGCUAGAAACGGGCUUGUGGGCCUUGUGCCCAAGCCCACAAAACCUUCACUAUAUAAAGGGUUUUACCCCUAAAAUCUUUCAUUUUCAUCUAAACUUUCUCUCUCUAACCCUCAAAUCCUCUCAACUCUCUCUCUCUAGAAACAAGUCCGGCGAGAAUUCCGGCCGACUUCCGGCGGAGAUCUGGCGACCGGCGACUUUUCCGGUGGAGUUCCGGCGACCGACGAUUUUCCGGCGAAUUUUCCGGCGGCCGUUUUUCGGCCAAGAGUACACUUUUUCGACUAUAUCCGACGUUCCGGAUCGCGUGGUGAGAUGCUUAGAUCGGGACUUGAGGAGCAUUUCUGCAAAUUUUCAAGAAAUUUUAUUCUCCGGCGAAAUUCCGACUUCUGACAUGGUUUUGGCGAGGUUCCAGCCGUCCGUUUUCGACGAAAAUUAUAUUUUUGGGCUCCUAAUGACCCGUAGAGUCCAUACGAAACACUUUCGUCUCGGGUGAAAAUUUAAGUUCGGGACGCUCUCGGGCUCGGGUCAACACGGUCAACAGGUCAAACACGGGUCAAGAGGCAGUUUUGGGUCAUUUUUAGUGCCUCGGUUCAGUUUCGGGUCCGGUCAACCCUGGUCAACACGGGUCAAACGUGGUCAAAGCUGGUCAAAGGUGGUCAAAGCUGCUCAAAUUCAGUCAACUGCUGGUCAACGCAGUCAACUCAGUCAACACGAAGCUCGGAAUGCUAUAGUUGCACGCUAGCUACUUCACAUUCUUGGAACGACACUACAGAAUCACGUU